rnacentral:tRNA from 1 species
GACAGCUCAGAUGGUAAAAGCGUCUGCCUACAAUGCAGGAGAGCAGGGUUCAAUCCCUGGGUCA